rnacentral:rRNA from 1 species
UACGGGGGGGGCAAGCGUUGUUCGGAAUUACUGGGCGUAAAGCGCGUGUAGGCGGCUCUUUAAGUCAGAUGUGAAAGCCCUAGGCUUAACCUAGGAACUGCGUUUGAUACUGUAGGGCUAGAGUGUGGAAGGGGCUACUGGAAUUCCGGGUGUAGCGGUGAAAUGCGUAGAUAUACGGAGGAACACCGGCGGCGAAGGCGGGUAGCUGGGCCAACACUGACGCUGAGACGCGAAAGCGAGGGGAGCAAACGGG